ACAAUAGAAUUCAACUGUUGAACAAGCUUGGAUACAGAGAUGAGAUUGUAAUGGAAACUGGGAAUAUAAAGGACAUUAUGUAGAGUGAAGCAAAGAAAUUGAAUGGAUCCAGUACAUGUUACCUUGACUUUGUAACCAUUAGGCAAGGAAAUUAAGUAUGGAAUAACUAAUGGUUCAAUAUCAAACAUAAGAUCUUUAUUGGAAGUCAUGUGAUCAGUGGCCCCAGAAUCUAUAAUCCAAAUGCAAUCACUAAUUUUAAUUAACAUGCAAGCACCAUAAGAUACAUUCUCUAAAUGUCUGAAGGAAGAAAGUGUACCAGCAAAAUUGGCAGAUGCCAUAAGGUUGGACUGUUGUUGAGACCUUGAAACUUGUGUCUGUUGAAGCAGUAACAUGAGUUGUGAAUAUUGGUCCUUAGUCAAGCCAGGGAUCAGAGAGUCUGAGCCAGAAUACCCCUGAGCAUUAUCAGCUUUGUUUGAAGACUCAACAGAGUUUACAUCUGCACCUCAACAUUUGAUGCAGUUCUUUUGUUUCUUGUGAACUUGAAGUCUAGUGGGAACCCAUGGAGCUUGUAGCACUUUUCAAUUAUAUGACCAGGAUUUUUGCAGUACCUACAUACUAAACCUGUCUUGUUGACAUCAAAACUGACUCUCUGAUUGAAUUGCUUAGAAUGAAUAGGUGUUCCAGGGAAUUUGCUGAUGAACUGAGUGUUAAAAGCACUGGAGUCACCAUGAAAUUGAGAUGGUGAAGAUGUAACUUGUCUUUGCCUCUCAUCCUGAAGUAGAAUGUUGUAUGCACUGUCCAGAGAAGGAGGAGGCUGAAGCAUGAGGAUGUUGCCCCUAACACCCACAUAUGUAUCAUUAAGCCCCAUGAGAAAUUGAUGCAGUUUGUUUUCAUCUUCCUCUUUUUGAAGUUCGAUUCUGGCAGCACAUGUACAUGUACCACAUAUGUAUCAUUAAGCCCCACGAGAAAUUGAUGCAGUUUGUUUUCAUCUUCCUCCUCUUGAAGUUCGAUUCUGGCAGCACAUGUACAGGUGCUGCCCCGUGAUGCACGCAUAAAACCCAGCUCAUUCCACAAUCUCUUCAACUUGUUGAAGUAGGAUGCUAUAUCUAAGGAUCCCUGACUGGUAGAUGCCAACUCCUGCUUGAUCUCAAAGAUUUUGGUACCAUUCACUGUUCCAUAUCUGCUAUUAAGUUGAGUCCAAAUGCUUUGAGCAGUGUCAGAAUACUGAACACUCUCGGCUAUCUCUGGUGUAAGAGAAUUUGUGAGCCAGGAGACAACCAUGUUGUUACACCUAUCCCACUGUCUAGAAAGAGGGGAAUUUUCAGGAGGUUUAGGAACCGUUC
rnacentral:lncRNA from 1 species